CGUCCUUUUUAAUUGAGGUGCUUAAAUGUUAUAUUUAAUAACCUAAAGGGCUGGAGUGCAAUUUUUUUUAUUAGAAUGGUGCAUGUGUGCCGUGUGUAUGGUGUGGUGUUGUGUGUGUGUGUGAUCUUUUAAAACAAAAGAAAAAAAUAGAAGAGAACAAACCCAUCAGAAAGGUUUGUACCAACGUGAGAGAGAGAGAGAGAGAGAGAGAGAGAGAGAGAGAUCAGCCGUGAGGAGAGAAGAAGAAGGAAGAAAGGGAUUAAGGGUUUUGAAGCUUAAUUAGGUAACAAACCGGUCAAAUAGGAGGUGCCGAAACCUUAAGUUUGGUGUAUAUCUCGGUCGAUGCAAAGGUAGCAGGUUGCGUAGAGUGGGUCCACUACCGGUCAUCGUGUUGAGAAGUGUUUGGGCUAGCAUUAGAUGAUGUGGAUGAACGAGUUGGUUGUAGGUAGUAAACUAAAAAGUUGAUUUAUGUAAGUUAUAAAUAAGUCGUUGGUGGAUGUAUUAAAGUGUAAAAUUUUUAAAGUAUUGUAAAACUAUAUUGUUGUUUAGUUGUGUGAGAUCGUGGUUGGUUGGUCGAUACGUCAACUCAUUUUUAUGUUAAGGUGAUAAGUCUUCCGCUGGGUGUUUAUUCUGACA